rnacentral:lncRNA from 1 species
UUGGAGUGGCUAGAGUUGACUAAAAAUUAUGGACGCAGUGAGACCUACAAAACAAGUCCUGGAUAGAGUUGGCUCUGACGAGAUCCUCUGAUGGCCAAGUCAGAAAGCUAGAAUAGAUAAGGAGUGCGAGAGAAAGAGAGGGUGCGAGUACCUAUGUACCUGGAGGGUCCCUUUUUGACCCCUAUUUAUAGAGAGACGAGAGUCAUAAUGGAAAAGUAAUAGGAGACUAUUUCGGCUUUUCUAACUGUACCACUC